rnacentral:tRNA from 1 species
GCCUGGCUGGCUUAGUCAGUAGAGCAUGUGACUCUUUAUCUCAGGAUCAUGAGUUCAAGCCCCACGUUGGGCA